CCCCUUUUCUUGAAGCUCUUAAGGCAUUUUAGAGGUUGCGGAGUACCCUCCUCUAAACCAAUAUUGUCUUCUUGUAGAAUCAUUUUUGUCCUUCUCUUAGAAUGGCUGGAGGCCAAGACAUUAGUAUGACGGAAAGUUUGAAGUCCAAGUUGGAUGCUAUUAUGAAUGCCCUCGCUACGUUAUCGCAAAGAACUGUAGAGAUUGAAGG
rnacentral:lncRNA from 1 species